GUGCCGUCGCGCUGAUGGUACUGCGUCUCAAGACGUGGGAGAGUAAGUCACCGCCAGAC
rnacentral:rRNA from 1 species